rnacentral:rRNA from 1 species
GAUGAACGCUGGCGGCGUGCCUAAUACAUGCAAGUCGAGCGAACAGAUGAGGAGCUUGCUCCUCUGACGUUAGCGGCGGACGGGUGAGUAACACGUGGAUAACCUACCUAUAAGACUGGGAUAACUUCGGGAAACCGGAGCUAAUACCGGAUAAUAUAUUGAACCGCAUGGUUCAAUAGUGAAAGACGGUUUUGCUGUCACUUAUAGAUGGAUCCGCGCCGCAUUAGCUAGUUGGUAAGGUAACGGCUUACCAAGGCAACGAUGCGUAGCCGACCUGAGAGGAUGAUCGGCCACACUGGAACUGAGACACGGUCCAGACUCCUACGGGAGGCAGCAGUAGGGAAUCUUGCGCAAUGGGCGAAAGCCUGACGGAGCAACGCCGCGUGAGUGAUGAAGGUCUUCGGAUCGUAAAACUCUGUUAUUAGGGAAGAAAAAAUGUGUAAGUAACUAUGCACGUCUUGACGGUACCUAAUCAGAAAGCCACGGCUAACUACGUG